ensembl:lncRNA
GUUUUAAUGGAGGAGGAAAAAGGAGAUAAUUUCUCCUCUUCAAACAGACCACAACAAUUAAACAGCAGGUGGAAGAUGGUGAGUGGAACUAGUUAAACAAGAUCUUCUUUACGGGCAUAAUAUUUUAGAAAUAACAGGGUUAUAUAUUAUUUAUUAAAAGAAGCAGAAUCCUGCACCCCACUGAUCUCUGGAGAGUUGCUAGUAAUAAGUACAAUAUUCUUUUCAUAGCAAUGCUCUGCCUUUUUAUUAAUGGAAAAACUCAUGAAUUAACCAUACCUAUAAGUGCAGGCAGCACAAUUGGCUUUAGGAGGCUACUUCAUUAUUCACAGAAUAGGAGAACAGUGUGACUGGAAGGAGUCUGGGAUGCGAUCUGUUCUCUCCAUCUCCUAAAGCUGUGUAAUGCAUCUACAUCAAUGGCAAAAAAACAAAAACAAAAACAAAAACAAAAAAACCCUCUGUAUUGAAAUGACAUUUUUCCUCCUUGAACAGCUGUGAUUAUUGACAACUAUUUUUUAUUUACCUUGGUUAGACUUCUGUAAUAAUUUUAAAACAUCAGAAAAUGAAGGCAGGUUUGCAAGAAGCACAAGCUGCAAAAUCAAAAGGUUGUUAUUCUUGUCAGAAACGAUGUCCAGGGCACACCGAACUGUCAGCUUUUGUAGGUACUUCUUACUGAGUAAAACUAAUUACUCACUACAGGUUUAACUACAGUGUGGGGGUGGAUGUGAAGACGGGAAAAUGCAUGACAUGAUUUUUGCAGCAAUAGGGCUAGAGAAGAAGAUACGUUCAAUAGAGAUUUUUGGAGCAACUGUGUGGCGGGCUUCACAGAGGGAAAUUACUUGCACCCCCAGACUGGCAGUUCCCCAGGCAGCUGUCUGGCUUGCACACGGGAUGUGUUUGCAUUCUAGGCAAAUUCUGCACACCUACAGUUAGCAAGCCACAUGUAACAUGUUUUUGCUCUUUCCAUGGUUCUUGCAAGAUCUUUGAACGUGCACACAGAAUGGACAGGAUCUCUGACUAUGCAUUUAUGUACUGAGGUACUGUAGCAGACUCUCAGUGUAGGGAAGGUUGGGAUCCAGCCCACAAAAACUGCAGCAGUGCCAUGUGACAACUGUGAAAAGCAGCCACUUCUGUCAACUCCUCUGUCCCAAAUCUGUCCUUCCAAGAAGAGCUGACAUCCCACUGCUGUAGGGUGUUCCUUUGUUACAGAGAGCCAGAUGCAGUUUACCUUCCAGAAAAACAAACAAACAAACAAACAAACAGCUUUUAGAAUACUUAUUCCGUGGGCUGGGAUGGAUUUCUCCAGGUGUUGCCUUAGAUAACAGUCUGCAAAAAGAACAGUCCUGUUUGAAAAGGCAUUACUGACUCUGCUGCAAUGCUUAGGAGGUCUUCAGCAGAGUCAGCAUUUAGCCUUAACAAGGCAUCCAAAAACAUCUCACUCUGUUUUGUUUUUUUUUUUUUUCUUAUAGAGAGAAAAGGAUUGGGGGAGCUGAAUUUUCAUUUGUCCAGCACUAGCAGCUCAGCAUGACAGUGUGAUGCUGGGAUUUUUUUUGUAAAAUCCAUGUCUCUGGAAAAGGGAAACAGGGGACCCCCCACAAAAAAAGAAUAAUUAAAAAAACAGUGGCAACGAUCUGAGGAGAAACAAACUAAUUUACUAAAUAUAGUAUCAGAACACACGAUAACACACUAUAAUACAAUAUAAUUCAAUAUAAUUGUUAAUAAAAUAAAAUAUAAUUGAGAGACAGGUUGUCCGAGAGCUAAAGGCCUUACACUAAUACUGAAGCCUUGCGUGCAGUCAGGAGCAGCAGCGAGAUGAUCCGAAGGCGAGCACAAGAUGAGAAGAAAGGGCAGAAGACUCAGGUCAGGUGACCUACAGGCCUUAUAUCUGUUUCCCUGAGCAGGAAUGAUAACAGUACUCAAACAGUCUUCUGGGGAAUGUAGUUCUUCUCUUCCGGACACGUACCCGGAACUAGAGCAUUUGCUCUUUAACUCCCAUUACACUGCAUGAUGUUAUGAUGUGGAAUACCGAUAACCAAAAAUCUUAAAACCAUGACAUCAUGGCACAACUUGAGGCCAUUACUUCUUGUCCCAUUGCUAGAUAAAUGGAAGAAGAGGUCAACCCCCACCUUGCCACAGCCUUGUUUCAGGUAGUUGUAUAGAGCAAUGUGAUCUUCCCUGAGCCUCCUUUUCUCCAGACUGAACAAUCCCAGUUUCCUCAAUGGCUUCUUGUGAGACUUGUGCUACAAAUCCCUCAUGAGCUUUGUUGCCAUUGUCUGGAACUGCUCCAAGGCCUCCAUGUCUUUCUUGCAGUGAGGGGCCCCCUCUGUACAAGAACGUACUGAACACAGUACUCAAAGUGUGGCCUCACCAGUGCUGAACACAGAGGGAAGGUCACCCCCCUUCACCUUCUGACUACACUGUUUCUUAUAAAAGCCAGGAUGCCAUUGGCCUUCUUGGCUAUCUGGGCACACUGCUGGUUCAUGUUCAGUUGAGCACUGAGCAAUACCCCCAGGUCCAUUUCCUCAGUGCAGUCUUCCAGCCACUCUGCCCCAAGCCUGUAGCAUUGCCGGGGGUUAUUGUGACCAAAGUGCAGGACCCGACACUUGUGGGGUGUUAAACUUCAUCUUAUUGGCCUCAGCACAGCCAUCUAGCUUGUCUAGAUCCGCCUGGAGGACCUUCCUACACUCAGGCAGAUCAACACUUCCUCCCAGCUUGGUGUCAUCUGCAAACUUACUGAAGGUGCACUCAAUCCCCUUGUCCAGGUCAUCAAUAAAGAUACUGAACAGGACAGGCCCCAGCACCGGCUCCUGCGGAACACUGCUUGAGAUCGUUCACUGGCUGGAUUUAAUUUAAUUCCCCAUCACUCUCUGGGCCUGGCCCUCCAGCCGUUUAUUCUGCUCCCCAUCCAAGACUUCCAGGUCAAAGGUUAGAGUACCCCAAUGAUAACUGCUCUGACUGUUAAAGACGCAUGUAGAGAAGAAUACUCCCUGGUUCACCUUCACUAAUUUGUAAACUAACUGCAAAAUAGAAGUCAGAUUCUGCCAUUUAGAUAUUUUUCACAGUUAAUCUCAAAAGAAGAAAUGUAACCGAGUGGUUUAUGUAGUUUUAGGGUAGCUGGGUGCAGGCAUAAACCAUGCCAGCAGUAAAAGAGGGAGAGGAUUGUCCUACCUGACUAAAUAUCUCUGCAAAUGUCUCUGUCACCAAUGGAAAUUUCUCUGUUUCUAACAUGACUAUCAAAUGAGACUCCCCACCUGGCACAAUCUCAGUGUUUUUACUGACUGCUUGUGGUUACCAGGACUGAUCCCACCAAGAGCAGGCACCAGGAUGGCAGCAGGGAGCCUUUGGUUCAGAUGCUAGCAUGUCUUGGGAUGUGUGCAUCAUCCCAUGGACUACACUCCAUGGGAUGUUUACAAAGCCUAGCCCCUGCCCCAAGACACAGAAAUAGAGGAGCCUUUCCUUCCUCUGGGACUGUGGUCUGCAGUGUCAUGAACUCUGUUUGCCACAGUAGCCUCUGUAAAAAAUUAAUGAUGCUGUUAUAAAAAGCUUGUUUUGGGAUUAGUGCAGUCACCUCUCCCAAAGGAACAUCCUGCAAGGCAGCUGUGUCAGGCAGAGACCCUGAGGUAAAUGCAGUCAGUAGAGGAGGGGCUAUAGUCCUGAGGGUGAGAGAUGAGCUAAAAAGCUUUCCAAUAAACAAGUGGAUAUAGGAGCUUGAUCACUUGAAUGUCCCAGGAGAGAUGGAAGAAGACUGAAGACAGCCAGCCCAGAACAGUGGCCAGUCCCAAUCCAGUGGCACACUGUAUGUGAAAUUCAUCAGAACACACUCACUUUCAAGAAAAUACAAUUGAAAAUUCAAUGAAUGUGGAAGCAUCAGCUACCACAGUGUGAGAGCUUUGCUAUCAAGUAUACAAACAGUAAUGUGUGACUUCGAUUCAGUUUAUUUCUGUCUCUCUCAAAGGUUAAAAUAAAAUUAAAAUAGUCAUUUUCAGUAUUGCAGUAGUCAUUUUUCAAAAAGAAUUAUUUUUAUUUGCUCUCUAUCUUGUCCCCAUAUAUCUUAAGGCAGUCGAUGUGCUCUACCUGGACUUCAGCAAAGCCUUUGACACUGUCCUGCACAACAUCCUCAUGGAGAAGCUGCCUGCCUGUGGUUUGGAUGGGCGUAUGCUCUGCUGGGUGAAACACUGGCUGGAUGGCCGGGCCCAAAGAGCUGUGGUCAGUGGUGUUAAAUCCAGAUGGAGGCCGAUCACGAGCAGUGUCCCCCAGGGCUCAGUACUCGUAUUCAACACCUUUAUCAAUGAUCUUGAUGAGGGGAUUGAGUGCACCCUCAGUAAGUUUGCAGAUGACACCAAGUUGAGAAAGAAUGUUAGUCUGCCUGAGGGGAGAAAGACACUACAGAGGGAUCUGAAUAGACUGGAUUGAUGGGCCAAGGUUAACUGUAUGAGUUUCAGUAGGGCCAGGUGUUGAUUCUUGCAUUCUGGUCACAACAACCCCAGGCAGCCCUACAGGCUUGGGGAGGACAGACUGACAAAAAAUGACCUUGGUGUACUGAUGGACAGUGGCCUGAAUAUGAGCCAGCAGUGUGCCCAGGUGGCCAAGAAGGCCAAUGGCAUCCUGCCUUGUAUCAGGCAUGGUGUGGUGAGCAGGACUAGGGAAGUCAUCCUGACCUGUACUCUGCAUUGGUGAGGCCUCACCACGAGUGCCGUGUUUAGUUUUGGGCACCUCAGUACAGACAGGACAUGGAGGUGCUGGAGCAGGUCCAAAGAAGGGCAACAAGGCUGGGGAAGGGCUUGGAGAAUAUGCCCUAUGAGGAGAGACUGAAGGAACUGGGGCUGUUUAGUCUGGGGAAGAGGAGGCUGAGGGGAGACCUCAUUGCUCUCUUCCAAUACCUGAAAGGUGCUUACAGGGAGAGUGGGGUUGGUCUCUUCUCACUGUUGACAGGUGACAGGAUGAGGGGAAAUGGCCUCAAGUUGCGCCAGGGUAAGUUUAGGUUGGCUAUCAGGAAAACUUCUUUACAGGAAGGGUUGUUAAGCACUGCAAUAGGCUCCCCAGGGAGGUGGUUGAGUCACCAUCCCUGGAUGUGUUUGAAAACCAUUUGGAUAUGGUGCUCAGGGACAUGAUUUAGCAGAAGGUUGUUAGAGUUAGGGUAGUAUGGUUAGGUCGUGGUUGGACUUGAUGAUCUUGAAGGUCUUUUCCAACCUGAGUUAUUCUAUGAUUCUAUGAU